UCAUUCACUUGGGCAGCCCAUUUCCUACACAGAUCAGGACUGCAUCUUUUACUCCUUUGGAAAUUAGUCCCUUAGGAGCCAGUCCAACACCAACUAAAAUUCAUGGACUAUCUCCAAGGGACUGCAGCGGCUUUAGACUCCGAACCUACGCAGAGAUCACAGAUUCCACACUGAUUCCUGGACUUCCAUGGCAUCCAAGUUCUAGUGGGUGUCAUGAGGACCGUCUUCUAAGUAGCAGCAACACGCAUUCUCCUGCUGUUCUGCAGAUGAUCCCAGAAAUGGAGCAAUUACGAUCUCAUCUGAAAUAUGUGGCUGCACUGUAACCAMACAAUAAAAAAGCUCAAACAAACA
rnacentral:lncRNA from 1 species